rnacentral:misc_RNA from 1 species
GAUGAAGAACGCAGUGAAAUGCGAUAAGUAAUGUGAAUUGCAGAAUUCAGUGAAUCAUCGAAUCUUUGAACGCACAUUGCGCCCGCCAUUAUUCUGGCGGGCAUGCCUGUUCGAGCGUCAUUUCAACCAUCAAGCCCCCGGCUUGUGUUGGGGACCUGCGGCUGCCGCAGGCCCUGAAAACCAGUGGCGGGCUCGCUAGUCACUCCGAGCGUAGUAAUACAUCUCGCUCAGGGCGUGCUGCGGGUUCCGGCCGUUAAAAAGCCUUAUUUACCCAAGGUUGACCUCGGAUCAGGUAGGAAGACCCGCUGAACUUAAGCAUAUCAAUAAGCGGAGGA